rnacentral:rRNA from 1 species
CCUACGGGUGGCAGCAGUAGGGAAUUUUCGGCAAUGGGGGGAACCCUGACCGAGCAACGCCGCGUGAACGAAGAAGUUAUUCGUAAUGUAAAGUUCUUUUAACAGGGAAGCAAGAGAAAUUUGACGGUACCUGAAGAAUAAGCUCCGGCUAACUACGUGCCAGCAGUCGCGGUAAUAAGUAGGGAGCGUGCGUUAUCCGGAAUCAUUGGGCGAAAAGGUUGGGUAGAUGGCAUAGUAAGUCUGUGGUAAAAAUGCUGGGCUAAACCCAGUGGGGCAAAAGAUACUGCAAGGCUAGAGUAUGAGAGAGGCAAGCGGAACGAGAUGUGUAGCGGUGAAAUGCAUAAAUAUAUGUAAGAACACCGAUGGCGAAGGCAGCUUGCUGGGUCGAUACUGACGCUGAGGCACGAAAGCGUGGGGAGCGAACAGGAUUAGAUACCCUAGUAGUC